rnacentral:misc_RNA from 1 species
UGGGACUACCAGGGUAUCUAAUCCUGUUUGCUCCCCACGCUUUCGCACCUGAGCGUCAGUCUUUGUCCAGGGGGCCGCCUUCGCCACCGGUAUUCCUCCAGAUCUCUACGCAUUUCACCGCUACACCUGGAAUUCUACCCCCCUCUACAAGACUCUAGCCGGACAGUUUCAAAUGCAGUUCCCAGGUUGAGCCCGGGGCUUUCACAUCUGACUUAUCCAACCGCCUGCGUGCGCUUUACGCCCAGUAAUUCCGAUUAACGCUUGCACCCUCCGUAUUACCGCGGCGGCUGGCACG